rnacentral:rRNA from 1 species
GAGUUUGAUCCUGGCUCAGGAUGAACGCUAGUAGUAUGCCUAACACAUGCGAGUCGAACGGAAAUUCAGUUUCCGUGGCGUACGGGUGAGUAAACACAGAAUUCUCCCUCUUAGUUCAGCACAAAGACUCUCAUUUGAUAGUUAAAUACUGAAUAUGUUAAAAGGGUAUCCGCUAAGAGAUAAAUUUGUUUAAGAUUAGGUUGUUGGUAAUUUAAAAGCUUACCAAGCCUCUGAUCUUUCGUUGGUCUGAGAGGAUGAUCAACCACACUGGAACUGAAACAAGGUCCAGGCCAACUUGUUGGCCAGCAGUAAGGAAUAUUGGACAAUGAACGAAAGUUUGAUCCAGCAAUACUAACUGGGUGAUGACGGCUUAUUAAAGUUGUAAGACCCUUUAACUAAUGAAGAUAAUGACAUUAAUUAGUUGAACUAGUCCUGGCUAAUACUCGUGCCAGCAGCCGCGGUAAUACGGGAAGGGCAAGCGUUAUCCAACAUGACUGGGCGUAAAGAGUCCGUAGACUGUAAAGUAAGUUCUUUGUUAAAUCCUAAGACCCAAUCUUAGUACAGCAACUAAUACUACUUUACUUUGAGUUUAAUACAGAAAAGUAGAAUUUUAUACGAUAAAGGUGAAAUUUGUAGAUAUAUAAAGGAAUGCCAAGAGCGAAGGCAACUUUUUGGUAUAAACUGACGUUGAGGGACGAAAGCGUAGGUAGCGAACGGGAUUAGAGACCCCGGUAGUCUACGCAGUAAAUUCUGAGUGCUGUAAUUUAAUUGUGAUAUCAUUUUAAUAUCAUUUAGAUUUUCAAGCUAACGCAAUAAGCACUCCGCCUGAAGAGUAUGAUCGCAAGAUUGAAACUCAAAGGAAUUGACGGGGGUCUAACACUAGUGGUGGAGCAUGUGGUUUAAUGCGAUAAUCCGCGCAAAACCUUACCAAUUUUUGACAUAUUAAAAGAGCUAUUUAAACUAUCGAAGUAUUUAAAUAAAACUUUUUUUACAGGUGUUGCACGACUGUCGUCAGCUCGUGUCGUGAGAUGCUUGGUUAAGUCCUGAAACGGGCGCAACUCUUACUUUUAGUUUUAAACAUUUUUAAAGUUUUCCUUUAAUCUGCUUUAAAAGUACGGUCAACGAUAAGUUGAAGGAAGGUAAGAAUGAAGUCAAGUCAAUGUGACCCUCAUAAAUUGGGCUACUUCAUGUGCUACAAUGAAAAUUACAAAAAGUGACAAUAAAGAAAUUUUAAGUUAAUCAACAAAAAUUUUCCCAGUUCGGAUUGUAGACUGCAACUCGUCUACAUGAAGUUGGAAUCACUAGUAAUCGCAAAUCAGCACGUUGCGGUGAACAUGUAACUUGACCUUGUACACACCGCCCGUCACUUGCAAAGAAUUAGUUUCACUUGAAGGCUUUCAUAAAGCCCAUUGAGAGAUUGAUAAUUUGGAUGAAGUCGUAACAAGGUAACCGUA